rnacentral:rRNA from 1 species
GAUGAACGCUGGCGGCGUGCCUAAUACAUGCAAGUCGAGCGAACAGAUGAGGAGCUUGCUCCUCUGACGUUAGCGGCGGACGGGUGAGUAACACGUGGAUAACCUACCUAUAAGACUGGGAUAACUUCGGGAAACCGGAGCUAAUACCGGAUAAUAUAUUGAACCGCAUGGUUCAAUAGUGAAAGACGGUUUUGCUGUCACUUUUAGAUGGAUCCGCGCCGCAUUAGCUAGUUGGUAAGGUAACGGCUUACCAAGGCAACGAUGCGUAGCUGACCUGAGAGGGUGAUCGGCCACACUGGAACUGAGACACGGUCCAGACUCCUACGGGAGGCAGCAGUAGGGAAUCUUCCACAAUGGGCGAAAGCCUGACGGAGCAACGCCGCGUGAGUGAUGAAGGUCUUCGGAUCGUAAAACUCUGUUAUUAGGGAAGAACAAAUGUGUAAGUAACUAUGCACGUCUUGACGGUACCUAAUCAGAAAGCCACGGCUAACUACGUG